GGCGGAGAGGGAGUGUGUAGCGGAGACGUCCGAAAAGGCCGAAGGUACUUCCGGCCGAAAUGACAUUAAGGCAGAUGUCACUUCCUCCAAAGAUCUCUGACCUCUCAAAGAUGAGGUCAGGUGCCCCUCACCACAGCCCUGAACGUCCUCUGCUGGCACCACCUCCCUUCUUGUCCGACUCUGUGUUAGAAUGUGAGCCUUGUUCCUGCUGAGCCCAGUGCCAGCAGACGCUUGGUAAAUAUUUGUCCAACACA